rnacentral:lncRNA from 1 species
CUUAUUCUCGCCUUUCUUCUCGUGUGAUUUGGUGCCCUCACUAGCUUUCUUCUCUGCACUUCAGCCUGAUCGAAGCUUCAACUCGGUUUUGUUUGUUGUAGUUUCGCGCUGGGACACGCCAGCCACUGGGCAUUGAGGGCUUCUGUCCGUGAGGAUGUGGCUGGUGUAAUUGAUUGCUCUUUGGAGGGCUCGGCUGGGAUCAGCCAUUUCCUUCUUUGGUUAGUGGGGUGUGCCAUCAUUGUGCAUUAAAUGCACACCCCCCUUGCGAUGUGGCUGGUCUUUACUAUAAUAUUUUAUCUACGUAAUAUAUAAUUGCAUCGAGUGAUAGACACACUGAUAUAAUUCACUACUGAAAAGGUAUAUCCCGUGGAUAAUAUUAUAAAAUUGGAUAAUAAAUAUGAAAAACAAUUAUAGCAGAUAAAAAGUGAAUAUAUUUUAACAAUUAUUCUUUGGUUGGUUGGUAGGAACAACUAA